rnacentral:rRNA from 1 species
UACGUAGGGUGCUAGCGUUGUUCAGAAUCAUUGGGCGUAAAGCGCGUGUAGGCGGUUAGUUAAGUCGGGUGUGAAAUCCCUGGGCUCAACCGAGGAAGUGCAUCCGAAACUAACUAGCUAGAGAAUGGUAGAGGAAGGUGGAAUUCCGUGUGUAGAGGUGAAAUUCGUAGAUAUACGGAGGAAUACCGGUGGCGAAGGCGGCCUUCUGGACCAUUUCUGACGCUGAGACGCGAAAGCGUGGGGAGCAAACAGG